rnacentral:rRNA from 1 species
UACAGGGGGUGCAAACGUUGCUCGGAAUCAUUGGGCGUAAAGCGCACGUAGGCGGUUCGUUAUGUCGGAUGUGAAAGCCCUUGGCUUAACCGAGGAAGUGCAUCCGAAACGGCGAGCUAGAGUACUAAAGAGGAUCGCGGAAUUCCCGGUGUAGAGGUGAAAUUCGUAGAUAUCGGGAGGAACACCGGUGGCGAAGGCGGCGAUCUGGGACGGUACUGACGCUGAGACGCGAAAAGCGUGGGGGAGCGAACAGG